AUAUUGGGGCGGGAUGUGGGAGCGGCUGAACUGCGCAGCAGAGGAGUUUUAUUCUCGUCUCCUUCAGUGUCCUGCAGAGAUAAAGUGAUGACUGACUCCUGAGUGUGAAUAACAGGAGAGAUAAUGUAGUUCUGUUUUUCACAUGUGGUUCUGCGUUUCAGGAAAUUUAAUGAAGAAAAGAAAGGAAUCCGUAAAGACCCAUUUCUCUAUGAGGCUGAUGUCCAAGUGCAGUUGAUCAGCAAAGGCCAACCAAACCCUUUGAAAAAUGUUCUAAAUGAAAAUGACAUAGUAUUCAUAGUGGAAAAAGUGCCUUUAGAAAAGGAAGAAACAAGUCAUAUUGAAGAACUUCAAUCUGAAGAAACUGCCAUAUCUGAUUUCUCUACUGGCGAAAAUGUUGGACCACUUGCUUUACCAGUUGGGAAGGCAAGUUAAUUGGACUUUAUACCAUGGCUCACAAUCCUAAUAUGACCCAUUUGAAGAUUAAUCUGCCAGUUACUGCCCUUCCUCCCCUUUGGCUGAUAAAAAUUAUUCUGUAAAUCUUGAAAACCUAAAAAAUUUACACAAGAAAAGACAUCACUUGUCU
rnacentral:sRNA from 1 species